rnacentral:tRNA from 1 species
UUAGGGAGACCUUACCCGCUUGAGACUGAAAUAAACCAAAAGAAGUCCGAGCUUGGUCAUCUCAAAGGUCGAACAAGGGAAAAAAUUGCUUUCAAACUAAACUGGUUCGGUAAAAUGGGCUAUUAGCUCAGGUGGUUAGAGCGCACCCCUGAUAAGGGUGAGGUCCCUGGUUCGAGUCCAGGAUGGCCCACCUUACUCCAAAGAACCCACUAAACUGACUGUGUCAUCUCAAAGAAGAGGAGACAAGGUAGAAGCGAAUUGGGGGUAUAGCUCAGUUGGUAGAGCGCCUGCUUUGCAAGCAGGAUGUCAGCGGUUCGAGUCCGCUUACCUCCACCAGAAAAAGUCGAAUUCAGCAUCCGAACUUCAAACAAAUUGAGUAGGAAUGCUGGAUUAGUAAUGUCCAGCCAGCACCUUGAAAACUGCAUAAGAAUAAAGAUUAGUAAAGACAGGUAGAAAGUCUUAAAAGACAAUCUAUUUCAAAGAUCGAGA